UGGGGAAUAUUGGGCAAUGGGCGCAAGCCUGACCCAGCAACGCCGCGUGAGGGAAGAAGGUCUUCGGAUUGUAAACCUCUGUCCUUGGGGACGAAAAAAAUGACGGUACCCGAGGAGGAAGCUCCGGCUAACUACGUGCCAGCAGCCGCGGUAAUACGUAGUGAGCGAGCGUUGUCCGGAAUUACUGGGCGUAAAGGGUGCGUAGGCGGCUAGGCAAGUCAGAUGUGAAAUCCCCGGGCUUAACUCGGGUGGUGCAUUUGAAACUGCUUAGCUUGAGUGCAGGAGAGGAAAGCGGAAUUCCUAAUGUUGCGGUGAAAUGCGUAGAUAUUAGGAGGAACAUCAGUGGCGAAGGCGGCUUUCUGGACUGUAACUGACUCUGAGGCACGAAAGCGUGG
rnacentral:rRNA from 1 species